rnacentral:rRNA from 1 species
UACGUAGGGGGCUAGCGUUGUCCGGAAUCAUUGGGCGUAAAGAGCGUGUAGGCGGCUCGAUAAGUCCGCUGUGAAAGUCCAGGGCUCAACCCUGGGAUGCCGGUGGAUACUGUCGGGCUCGAGUCCGGAAGAGGCGAGUGGAAUUCCUGGUGUAGCGGUGAAAUGCGCAGAUAUCAGGAGGAACACCAAUGGCGAAGGCAGCUCGCUGGAACGGUACUGACGCUGAGGCGCGAAAGCGUGGGGAGCGAACAGG